CCUACGGGAGGCAGCAGUGGGGAAUCUUACACAAUGGGGGAAACCCUGAUGCAGCGACGCCGCGUGAGUGAUGAAGUACUUCGGUACGUAAAGCUCUAUCAGCAGGGAAGAACAUGCCGGUAACUGACUAUGCAGCUCUUGCUAACUACGUCCCAGCAGCCGCGGUAAUACGUCGGGGGCAAGCGUUAUCCGGAUUUACUGGGUGUAAAGGGAGCGUAGACGGUUCUGCAUGUCAGAUGUGAAAGCCCAGGGCUCAACCCCGGGACGGCAUUUGGAACUGGAAGGCUAGAGUGUCGGAGAGGCAGGCGGAAUUCCUAGUGUAGCGGUGAAAUGCGUAGAUAUUAGGAGGAACACCAGUGGCGAAGGCGACCUUCUGGACGGUGACUGACGUUGAGGCGCGAAAGCGUGGGGAUCAAACAGGAUUAGAUACCCGAGUAGUC
rnacentral:rRNA from 1 species